rnacentral:lncRNA from 1 species
UGGGAGUGAGGCCAGGUGGAGGUGGGGAAGCCAAGGGAGGGGAGGCCGGCCAGGUAGCCACGGAAGGCGCCAGGAGAGACAGCAAUGGCAGCAAGGUAAGGAAGGGGGCCGGGGUCUGAGUGGUGAGUCAGGUAGCAGGGCAGGGCCCGGGCCAGGGCUGGUGGAGCCACCUCAAGUUCAGGGGUGGGGAAGUGACGAAGCCGGGGAGCUGAGACGGGAACAGGAGUGGGGUGGCCGGGGGCAGCACCGGGUCCAAGCGGAAUGCAGGUGGGGCCAGGGGUGAGAUCAGAAUGGGGAGCACUCGGGGAUCAAUGUCUGUGUCAUUAGUGCGUGUGUCACGAUGGGGGCGGGGUAGGGCUAAGGCGUAGGACCGGGGUCGGGGGUCAUCCCCCUAGGGGGCAGCGAGGGGCCAGGCCAGGCUCUCAGGAAGUCAGGGGUGGGCCCAGCCCGAGAGGGAAGAGGUCAGGAGUAGGAGAGUCCAGGGUGAGGUCACGGCGAGGUGGAGCAGGCUUAGGUCACAGACAGGAUGCACCAAGAGGGACCCAAGAGCACCGCUGAGGCAGUCCUGCCAAAACAGUGACUUGAUCCAUUCCGGAGGAAACAUCAGCCCCCAACCCCCGCCAAAAAAAAGAAACUGGCCUGGACUCUUUGAAAGGGACUGAGACAUGACAGCAGAAUGCCAAGUCUUUUGCUAUAAAUGACAAUAGUGGGACAACUGGUAAAAUCUGAGUAAGAUCUGUAGACUGGAUACCAGUACUGUAUCAGCGUUAGUUUCCUGAGUUGGAUUGUUAUACCUAGUAAUGUAAGAAAAUGACCUUUCUUUUCAAGGAAAUGCACACUGAAUUAUUUAGGGGAAAGAGACAUCAUGUCU